rnacentral:rRNA from 1 species
AUACGGAGGGUGCAAGCGUUAUCCGGAAUCAUUGGGUUUAAAGGGUCCGUAGGCGGACUAUUAAGUCAGAGGUGAAAUCCCACAGCUCAACUGUGGAACUGCCUUUGAUACUGGUAGUCUUGAGUUAUAUGGAAGUAGAUAGAAUGUGUAGUGUAGCGGUGAAAUGCAUAGAUAUUACACAGAAUACCGAUUGCGAAGGCAGUCUACUACGUAUAUACUGACGCUAAGGGGCGAAAGCGUGGGGAGCGAACAGGAUUAGAAACCCCAGUAGUCC